GAUGAACGCUGGCGGCGUGCUUAACACAUGCAAGUCGAACGGUGAACGAGGGAGCUUGCUCCCUCCGGAUCAGUGGCGAACGGGCGAGUAACACGUGAGCAAUCUGCCCUGGACUCUGGGAUAAGCGUUGGAAACGACGUCUAAUACCGGAUACGAGGCGUGGGGGCAUCCCCAACGCCUGGAAAGAACUUCGGUCCAGGAUGAGCUCGCGGCCUAUCAGCUAGUUGGUGAGGUAACGGCUCACCAAGGCGACGAUGGGUAGCCGGCCUGAGAGGGUGACCGGCCACACAGUGACUGAGACACGGCCCAGACUCCUACGAGAGGCAGCAGUGGGGAAUAUUGCACAAUGGGCGCAAGCCUGAUGCAGCAACGCCGCGUGAGGGACGACGGCCUUCGGGUUGUAAACCUCUUUUAGCAGGGAAGAAGCGAAAGUGACGGUACCUGCAGAAAAAGCACCGGCUAACUACGUGCCAGCCGCCGCGGUAAAAC
rnacentral:rRNA from 1 species